AAUAUCUAUAUAUAUAUAAAGAUGUAUGCUUCACUCCUGUGCUGCCAACAAGGACAGCACGUCACUAAUUAGCCUUCUAUCGUCGUGACACCUGUCCUUUUUCGAAUCCGCACCGUUUCAUUAACUCUCAUGUGGUUUUGGGCUUUUUCGUUUAUCUCUGGUCGCUGUGGUUUUCGAGACAGCCCAAUAGCCCAACAGAUUGAACCCUAAUUGUGUGUUUACACGCAGAAAGGAUUUUACGGGGAAUCUGCUGAUUGGUCAAAGACCACUACUCCUUUCGUCAAGAAGGAAUCAGGAGAGGGAGAAGCCAUGGAUGAUCUCUUCUCGGCGUAUAUGAAUCUUGAAAACAUUGAUGCCUUAAAAUCCCCUGAAGCUGAUAUGGAGAGUAGUAGAGCAAGCGGGACCAAGACUAACGGUAGUGACGACACAGAGGGAGAAAGCAGCAGCGUCAAUUACGAGAGUGGUGGCGAUCAUAACAAUAGCUUUACAGGAGUGUUUCAGUAGACAUUUUCUUUGUCAUGCUUGCUCUGGUUCAGAGUUGGCGUACCUGCGAGUAUAAAUAGAUCACCAUUAUUCCCCUUACAAUCAUCUUCCAAGCCGUGUAUCUACUACACCUAUAAAAAAGCUCGCUUUUCUGAGGAUGAUAAUUGUUUGUGUUCAAACUUUUGGUGAAGCAACAAAAAGUUGAGUUGGAGAGAAGCCACUUCUAUCUGUUUGAACAUUUUUCCAGUGUUUAGAGGAGUGGCGACAUUGAAAGUGAGGGCUAUGAAAGAAGUUUGGAACAUUGCAUCAGUGUCUACAGGGAUUAAGAACUCACUACUUCUGAAGGCUGCAACAACAUUAGUAAUGGUAGCAAUGGAAGCUCCAGUAGUUGUCACAGUAGCUAGGAUAAUUUCUUGGUAAUUAGCAGAGAAUGUCUUGCAAGAGGCUGUCUACUUCUCAAACGUACUUUGUCAAGGUAAUGAAUAUUAUUUUUUCUUUUUGAUUUAGUUUACGUUUCAGUUCUUGGAUAUUUUUCCUAAUGCUUUGUUACUGUUGGAAGUUGUCUCCGCUGGAAAAUAGUUCAUGUUUCAAUCAACACUCUGAUGAAACAAAUAAAACAGAGCCAAACUGUUUGUGAAUAAGUGAGGAAUCUUUAGCUUACUUUACAUGGAUGUGAACUUUCUUAUAUCAAACACACAUAGAUACUUCAAAUGGCAGGAUAAGAAGAAAGUAGAAACAAAGCUAAGGCUGAUAUAAAAAAGCAUACGUUAUGACAAUGAUGAUGAUAAUGAAGUUAUGGGAUCUACAUUUGUGUAUUACUUAAGAAUUUUCUUUGUGAAUCACCAAGAUGAAAGACUAUAAAAGGUAUGUCUUGGCAUUAUAAUUUAGGCUUUUUAGUAUUAGUUUAUUUUGUGGAAUUUUUUUUUUGUUUCGGUCAUCUUAUAUAUGUUAUUACUAAGUUUGUAAGUCUCAUGAUCAUUUUUGUGAUUUGCCUUUUGGUGGAAUGUAUCUUUAUUUUUUUCAUCGGAAUGUAUCUUUAAUUGUUGUAGUGUUUACUUUUUUAUUUGGUGGAAGGUGUCCAAAAUCAAUCUAUGGUCGAUUUUUUAUUUGCUAUCA